AUGCCGAUUGAGCCAAGUGAUAGGAAAGUGCCACAAGACAUUUUCAAAAACGUCGUUAAUAGAUGCUCGUUAACCAAAUUGAAUUCCCGAGAAUUUCACGAGUUGGAAAUGUCAAUUAGGCCGAGCACAAGAGCAAUUGAAGAGUUGGAUCCAUCUUCAAACGACCUUUUGAAGUGGGAAACUGAAUUGGCUUACACGGAGAAAAAAACGAUGCUUUUGGAUCACAAAUUCAACGAAAAUUCCAGAAUCCACAGGAAAAACGAACCUGGAUGCCGCAGAGAAAAACAAGUGCUAAUACAGGAUUGCUCACAAACUAUUUCAGAAAAUACCGUCUCACAACAACGUGAAAUCCCAAUUGGUUUCUGGAAAUUCGUGAAAAAGCUACGUGCUCUGGGCUUUCAGAUCUCGGUCAGCAAUUGGAAAGUGGCGAAAUUGCAAAUUGGAUUUUAAUUUCAUUUCUUCUCUACACGGCGGGCGUUUUGUGAAAAGUGGAAGUCGAGUUCUGAUGCGACGAGUGAACGUUUUCGUUAAGAAAUACUACAUUCUUUCAAGUGUAUAAUAGACGAAUGCGUUAUUUUUAACUAGAAGAAAAGUGGAAUGUGUUAAUUGGAUGCGAGGAUCAAAUAUCUAGACGCUCAACCAAUACAAAGAAAACAUACUGAAAUCUUCAGAACUCUCAACAUGACUAUAAUCUUCUGAGAGCCGGCAGAAAAAAAAAUUGACAUUCACAAUUGCUCCCCGUGUGCUUGCAUUGCUAAACAUGAUAUUGAGAUCACGCAAAACAAGAUGAAAGUGAGAUUUUUCCAACAUAUUGGCAAUGUUCACUGGAAAUUAUUCACCAAUAUUGCAACUCAGUCAGUAGAAAAACUUGUAGACAAUCGCGAUGGCUACCAGCGGCAGUUUGAAAAAAAAAAAUCAAUUAGCAAGUUGAUACAUAUUAGAUCAAUAUUUUACUGAUUGACAGAAUGCACAACUCCUGGAAAACUUCAACAGUGCACCUUGAUAGAAAAUUUUGUGGAGAAGUACGAUCAGAUUCUGCCAGACAAGAUUGUAUGAACAAACGAACAAUUCUACUACAUAUGGCUUUGAAAAUUGCACAUUUUGUGAAAAAAAUGGGAAGCUUCAAGUUGUAUCUUGUGUUCAAUAUCAAAAGGCAGGAUUUAGAAAUUUAGAAAAACACGGCUUCAAUUACAUGAAAAAAGUGGUCCCGUUACACAUUUUGGAUGCAAGUACUGUCCAGAAAACACAACAACUUAUGCUUUUUGCUUGCCAUGGAUCAGUUUCUAAUGAAAAGUUCACAGAUUUAUAGAAGUUCUAUCAGCACACAUUCAAUGCAACUUGGCAUUUACAGAGAAAGCUGCAAAAUUUGAAGUACACUGUAUGGAAAGGUAGCAGAAAUUGGAAUACUGGAACGGUGGGUCUGGUGAAUUGAGACGUCAUAAGUCAAUGAAGCUAUGGGUUAUCAAGGUUGCAACACAAAUUUGAAGACAAACGGCUACAUCGAAAAUCUUCAGAAGUUUGAAGAAAACUUCAAAAUUGGAAUGUGAAUCGUUUUUCGAAUGCCUACAGGAUUUUGUCAAAUAGUUUUUUUUAUUGAAACGUGAUCUGGUCAAGCAACACGCUUUACAAAAACUUGUUUCUAGUAUGAUGAUUCUGCAAAAGACGAACACUCACCUUUACUAGUCAAACUUUACUAGUAAAAUGCCUCAACCAGCAACAUGUGCUAUCAAGGAGAUUGGAAACAUGAAUAACCAAAAAAAAAUUUACUUCCUUUCAGUUUCGAGAAUCCAAUUCUGCUGUGAGAUACCCUUGUUGAAAUUUUAGAUUAACGGAGUAUAUUGGGAAUUUCCUAUUUGUUCUUCCAAAAGUGUAACUAGACGUGCAGGUUUCUACAAAAUUCGGAAUUUAAAUAAUGUACAGAUCGAUGUUUGGUAUUUGGCAUCAUCAAGAAUAAAAAAGUGAAACCCGACAAAAUUGUGUUUGGAAAGUAGGCAGAUACUAGAACCGGCAAAGAACAUAUCUCGCCUAGUGGCACUUCUGAGCAAUCAUGAGGACUAGCGAUGUCAGGGCACUCAACAUGUUCUGAAAAAUGUGAUGAUGGAUUGUGUAGUUCCAGGAAAGACUGUAAAAACUAUACGGUCCAAGUUUUACAGUAAAGCAACAUGUGUGAAAAGGACACACGAAACGAUUUACUAGUUGGCAACAGUUUGGUCUCAAUAAAAAUCCCAGACUUACUUCGCUAGGGUAUAGAGGUGAUACACGGGAAAACAGGCAAAUGGAUGGCCGAAUUUUUUGGUUCAUAAAUGUUGCUCCAUUUCAACGGGAUUCAAUAAUUCGCAAAAAAUGGGUUGAUGUCAAUUCCCCUGAAUACAUCCCUCGACACUGGGUCAGGUUUCUACAGCCCUCGUAAUGCGAAACAACUAUGAUAUGUGAUUUUCUAAAUUACGGAAAACUUAUCGAAUCGCAAUUCACUAAAGCGGCAGAAGAGCAGUACAUCUCUCUCGCGAUUGCCAAAAAAGAAAGAAUCGAAUUUUGGAACUGUUAGCUGAAAAUUGCCAACACACUGCAAAAUGUAAGCUUCUUGUCAGUGGCAUCAAAAUCUGUUCAGUGAGGUUGGCUACAUAGAAAAAAUUUUAAAAGAGAUUGGCGGAUUGAAAAAGCAGUUGACAAGCUUACUAAUGAGAGCAAAAAAGCCUAACAAUGCCCAUUGUUAAGACCAGAACCUCGACAUCAAAGUUAUGACAAAAAGAAUCUCUAUUUUGCCUACAGAGAAUGUUGAAUAUCACGCUGAUGUUGUAAAGAGUAUGACAAAAUCAGCAACUCAUCGCAAAUCACAUUUGAUGUCAGCGGCGAAGGAACUGAAUCAAGAAAGUGAGCGGUUCGUUUUGGGAGAUCAAAAAAAGCCCAGCAUUGUUUUAAAAAUAUGGGAUUGGAAUAUUUCAAAUAAUCGUUCGGGAGUACAGUUUCAGAUAUGCCGGAGACCAAUCUCAUUGUACCACGUUUCAAAAGAAAAAGCUACCUACACCGCAGGACUGUGAGGCAAUCAAACCACCAUGUUGCCGGUUGCCGAAAAUCUCGGUGGCCACACAGCCCUGGUACACCGCGUGUGAUCAUCACUUAACGACUUUGAAAGCUCAUAUCGUCAUUAAUUUCCAAACAAGUUUCACAUUUUCCGUGCAGCUCAAUCCAUCAAUAUCAGCGCUCAAGAAACCUUAUGACACAUCUCGGACAUCCUCUCCCGGAACAGCAAGAGAAAAAAUAUAUAAAAAUUAUAGAGGUUCUGUCUUAUUCUGAUCUUUUUAGUUUGUGA
ensembl:ncRNA Y59E1B.1 ncRNA